AGAGCACCCAGUUAAAUUUGAACUUCAGAGAAACAGUGAAAUUUUUAAAAAGUGUAAGUAUGUCCCAAACUACAUUUGGGACAUAUUUAUACUAAAUAUUAUUCCUUGUUCACCUGAAAUUAAAAUUGAA
rnacentral:miRNA from 14 species